GAAGUUUUAGCUUAGUUAAAGUGUCUGAGUUGCAUUCAGGAGAUGUGCAUUAGAAUUGACAGGCUUUC
rnacentral:tRNA from 1 species